rnacentral:rRNA from 1 species
CCUACGGGAGGCAGCAGUAAGGAAUAUUGGUCAAUGGACGAAAGUCUGAACCAGCCAUGCCGCGUGAAGGAUUAAGGCCCUCUGGGUUGUAAACUUCUUUUAUCUGGGACGAAAAAAGGGUAUUCUUACUCACUUGACGGUACCAGAGGAAUAAGCACCGGCUAACUCCGUGCCAGCAGCCGCGGUAAUACGGAGGGUGCAAGCGUUAUCCGGAUUUACUGGGUUUAAAGGGUGCGUAGGUGGGCUUGUAAGUCAGUGGUGAAAUCUCCGGGCUUAACCCGGAAACUGCCAUUGAUACUAUAGGUCUUGAAUUAUCUGGAGGUAAGCGGAAUAUGUCAUGUAGCGGUGAAAUGCUUAGAUAUGACAUAGAACACCAAUUGCGAAGGCAGCUUACUACGGAUAUAUUGACACUGAGGCACGAAAGCGUGGGGAUCAAACAGGAUUAGAUACCCUGGUAGUCCACGCCCUAAACGAUGGAUACUCGACAUACAGACGAUACACUGUUGGUUGUCUGAGCGAAGACAUAAGUAUACCACCGUACGGAAGGUAACGAGUCGCGAAGAGUUAGUUAAACGUUACUAAAUUAGUUAAGUUAGUUACGGCGUUGAGACGUUGCCGACGGACGACGACGAGGGAGGAGGAG